GGUCCGAACCCACGAGCGUUGAAAAGCUCGGGGAUGACUUGUGGGUAGCGGUGAAAUUCCAAUCGAGCCCGGAGAUAGCUGGUUCUCCCCGAAAUAGCUUUAGGGCUAGCCUCAAGGUGAGAGAUACGGAGGUAGAGCACUGAAUGUCCUAGGGGGUAUUGCACCUACCGAAGACUAUCAAACUCCGAAUGCCGUCAUCUUAUACUUGGGAGUCAGACUGUGGGUGAUAAGAUUCAUAGUCGAAAGGGCAACAGCCCAGAUCGUCAGCUAAGGUCCCUAAAUGUAAGUUAAGUGGUAAAGGAUGUGGGAUUGCACAGACAACCAGGAUGUUGGCUUAGAAGCAGCCACUCAUUCAAAGAGUGCGUAAUAGCUCACUGGUCGAGUGAUCCUGCGCCGAAGAUUUCCGGGGCUAAAACUUACUACCGAAGCUACGGCAUCAGUAAUGAUGGGUAGGGGAGCUUCCCAUACGGGUUGAAGCAUGACCGUAAGGACAUGUGGACAGUAUGGGAGUGAGAAUGUUGGCAUGAGUAGCGAGAUGUGGGUGAGAAUCCCACAGGCCGUAAACCCAAGGUUUCCAGGGGAAGGUUCGUCCGCCCUGGGUUAGUCGGGACCUAAGCUGAGGCCGAAAGGCGUAGGGGAUGGACAACAGGUUGAUAUUCCUGUACUACCGAUAACCGUUUGAGAGAUGGGAUGACACAGUAGGAUAAGCUAAGCACACUGUUGGUUAUGUGUGCCCAAGCAUUGAGGCAGUCAAAGUAGGCAAAUCCGCUUUGAUAAUGCUGGGAUGUGAUGGGGAGCGAAAUUUAGUAGCGAA
rnacentral:rRNA from 1 species